rnacentral:rRNA from 1 species
GCCUCAGUAACGGCGAGUGAAGCGGCAAGAGCUCAAAUUUGAAAGCUGGCUCCUUCGGAGUCCGCAUUGUAAUUUGCAGAGGAUGCUUUGGGUGCGGCCCCCGUCUAAGUGCCCUGGAACGGGCCGUCAGAGAGGGUGAGAAUCCCGUCUUGGGCGGGGUGUCCGUGCCCGUGUAAAGCUCCUUCGACGAGUCGAGUUGUUUGGGAAUGCAGCUCUAAAUGGGUGGUAAAUUUCAUCUAAAGCUAAAUACUGGCCGGAGACCGAUAGCGCACAAGUAGAGUGAUCGAAAGAUGAAAAGCACUUUGAAAAGAGAGUUAAACAGCACGUGAAAUUGUUGAAAGGGAAGCGCUUGCGACCAGACUCGCCCGCGGGGUUCAGCCGGCAUUCGUGCCGGUGUACUUCCCCGUGGGCGGGCCAGCGUCGGUUUGGGCGGCCGGUCAAAGGCCCCUGGAAUGUAGUGCCCUCCGGGGCACCUUAUAGCCAGGGGUGCAAUGCGGCCAGCCUGGACCGAGGAACGCGCUUCGGCACGGACGCUGGCAUAAUGGUCGUAAACGACCCGUCUUGAAACACGGACCAAGGAGUCUAACAUCUACGCGAGUGUUCGGGUGUCAA